rnacentral:piRNA from 1 species
UGGUGGACUGUAACUACUUUUC